ensembl:miRNA microRNA 23a
CGGCCAGCUGGGGUUCCUGGGGAUGGGAUUUGCAGCUAAAUCACAAAUCACAUUGCCAGGGAUUUCCAACUGACCC